rnacentral:rRNA from 1 species
AUACGGAGGGUGCAAGCGUUAUUCGGAAUCACUGGGCGUAAAGGACGCGUAGGCGGGUUGGCAAGUCAGAUGUGAAAUCCUACAGCUUAACUGUAGAACUGCAUUUGAAACUGCUAACCUAGAGUAUGGGAGGGGGAGAUGGAAUUAGUGGUGUAGGGGUAAAAUCCGUAGAUAUCACUAGGAAUACCGAAAGCGAAGGCGAUCUCCUGGAACAUAACUGACGCUAAGGCGUGAAAGCGUGGGGGGCAAACAGGAUUAGAAACCCUAGUAGUCC